rnacentral:rRNA from 1 species
UACGGGGGGGGCAAGCGUUGUUCGGAAUUACUGGGCGUAAAGGGCUCGUAGGUGGCCAACUAAGUCAGACGUGAAAUCCCUCGGCUUAACCGGGGAACUGCGUCUGAUACUGGAUGGCUUGAGUUCGGGAGAGGGAUGCGGAAUUCCAGGUGUAGCGGUGAAAUGCGUAGAUAUCUGGAGGAACACCGGUGGCGAAGGCGGCUCACUGGACCGGUUCUGACGCUGAGGCGCGAAAGCGUGGGGAGCAAACGGG